rnacentral:rRNA from 1 species
GGACUACAGGGGUAUCUAAUCCUGUUUGCUCCCCACGCUUUCGUGUCUCAGCGUCAGUACAUGGCCAGAUAGCCGCCUUCGCCACCGGUAUUCCUCCUGAUAUCUACGUAUUUCACCACUACACCAGGAAUUCUACUAUCCUCUCCAGUACUCAAGCCAAACAGUAUCAGAAGCACUUCCCGGGUUAAGCCCGGGGCUUUCACAACUGACUUGAAUGGCCACCUACACACGCUUUACGCCCAAUGAUUCCGAACAACGCUAGGAUCCCUCGUCUUACCGCGGCUGCUGGCAC